GGCCCCGCGCUUGUCACCCAGACAAGAGAUCAAUAACUAAUUUCACUGCAGCAGCAGCGCCGGGUUUUUUCCAAUAAUUGUGAGCCGGCGGUGGGGAAUGAGGCUCUCAGCACCGCUCCACACCAGCCUGCACCCGAUCAAUCGCCACACCGCUGGGGCAGCAGGAAAACUCAUUUUUCUCCUUUUCUUCCCUCUCCUCCCUUCUCUCCUUCCCGAUCCCACUCCGUUCCCUCCUCCUCCUGCUGUGGCGCUGCCUGAGCUGGGGCUGUGUCCCCAUCCCCUCGCUGGGUGGGAUGUCAGCUUGGGCUGUCCCCAGCUGGCCCCACACGCUGGGGACAAGGGCUGAGCCUCCUGUGCUGCCUCAGCAGCCCGGAGCACUUCGGUCCCUGCCACCCAGGGGCCGGACCCGGCUCCUUGUGCACAGCACCGGCCCCAGCAGCUUGGCUGAAGGUGGCAGAGGUGAGAUUUCUCCUCUCCUUGUGGGGUAAGGGGCUCCCAGGGAUGCUUUGGCUGCUGUGUUGUGACUUUUGGUGGCCUGUUGGUGCCUUUGUGUGGUCCAAAUGUGACUCCUACAUUUUAUGGUCUUUUUUUUUCCCCUGGGUUUUUAUUCCCUGAGUGAUUGGUCUGUUCUGGGUCAAGGACCUUACUGAGUUUCUCCUGCAACAAUCCUUUAUCCCUUCUGCUUCUGCAACUCUGCAGUGCCUCAGUUUCCCUCUAUAUCUAUAACAGAGGAGUCUGAGGACAUCCUUUCCUGCUCCUGCCCAUGCUGUUGUGAGCCACCAUGAGCUCCAAGGCAGAAGGUGUUGCUGGUUCCCAGCUCACAGCAGCUCCCCGAGUCCUGUGAUCACUGCUGAGUCUCUGCCUUCUUUUUGUGCAGGAGAACCUUUGGAACCACCCUCACCAGAGACCACAGUGGACAAAAUCAAAUCUUUAAAGGCUCAAGGUGCCCCAGCAGCAGCACUAACCCACAGGUGCAGCCACUUGCUUUGCAUCCAAAGGGAUGCUGAUGGGCAGUACCAUUCCCAGGCAGGAAAAAGAAACUUUUGGAUGCUGUGAAGGCAGCGGUGGCAGCACCUGCCUGUGUGCAGGCAUUGAGCUCACCUGGCCCACCACGAUGAACCAUUUCCUUCCUGAACACGAGCCCUCCGGGAUGUCCUGCCUGGGAAAUGAAAUCAGCUCUGAAUGGGAAGUGCAACCAAGGCUGGCCCAGCCCAGGAAGAAAAAGGGCAGCAAAAGAAAAACAAAUUCAGAAGCUGGAAUGGAAAAAACAAAAAAGUUAAAUGCUGUGCGUGCUGCUGUCCCUGUCACUCCCCCAAUCCCACAGCCACGGUCGGGAAGGCUGGCUUGUUCCACCAGGGUGGUGCAGAAAGGGUGAUUUUUCCUUUAGCAGGAUUCCUGCUUCACCACAGUCCUUUUCCUCCAGCCCUGGCUCUGGAGCAGGGAGCAGCUGGGUGCUGAGCCCGCCGCAGCCCAGGCGGGCGAGGGCAAGCAGGCGUGAGCUGAGACGGGGAGCCGAGAGCUUUAUUUUUAGUCCUGGUUUAACAAGUAUUAAUUAAUAAGAGUGCAAAUGCUAAUGCCGAGAUGACACAAACUGCGUUGCCUGAAAUGAAUGUUUGGGGCUUGUCUGUGCCAGGAUUUACAGCCGGGUGGGUUCACGGGGGCGAAAUCAUUGCUCAAACUGCAAGGAUAAGCUGAGCCGGCUCCUU